UACGUAGGGUGCAAGCGUUGUCCGGAAUUAUUGGGCGUAAAGAGCUCGUAGGCGGUUUGUCGCGUCUGCUGUGAAAACUCGGGGCUUAACCCCGGGCCUGCAGUGGGUACGGGCAGACUAUAAUGCGGUAGGGGAGACUGGAAUUCCUGGUGUAGCGGUGAAAUGCGCAGAUAUCAGGAGGAACACCGGUGGCGAAGGCGGGUCUCUGGGCCGUAACUGACGCUGAGGAGCGAAAGCGUGGGGAGCGAACAGG
rnacentral:rRNA from 1 species